AACGCGAAGAACCUUACCUAGGCUUGAACUCCUACGAACCUCUUGUAAUGGAGAGGGUGUCCGCAAGGAAAUGUAGUGAGAGGUGCUGCAUGGCUGUCGUCAGCUCGUGUUGUGAAAUGUUGGGUUAAGUCUCGCAACGAGCGCAACCCCUAUCGUCUGUUGCCAGCAUUAAGUUGGGCACUCUGACGAGACUGCCUGGGUUAACCAGGAGGAAGGUGGGGAUGACGUCAAGUCCUCAUGGCCCUUAUGUCUAGGGCUACACACGUAAUACAAUGGCGCGUACAGAGGGAAGCGAACUCGCAAGGGGGAGCAAAUCUCAAAAAGCGCGCCUCAGUUCGGAUUGGAGUCUGCAACUCGACUCCAUGAAGUUGGAAUCGCUAGUAAUCGGAGAUCAGCACGCUCCGGUGAAUACGUUCCCGGGCCUUGUACACACCGAUAGC
rnacentral:rRNA from 1 species